AGCCUGGUGGCGGAAUUGGUCAGACGCGCUUUGUGUGCCGCGGAAGCGGUAUUGCCGGUUGGCUUCGCCCAUUCUCCUCGUGCCUCGGCAUAGUUCAAGCAAGCUUGACUCUGCUCUCGGCACUGCGUCGAGUCGAGUCCGGCCCGGGCUG
rnacentral:tRNA from 2 species